GAAAGGCUGAAAUGCUCACUUGCAGUGCUCAGCUAAAGUCAUGGCCGAACUAGUGCUGCACUUCUAUGCGAUUCUCAUUCAGGAGAAGCCUGUGUGCUUCUAUGCGAUUCUCAUUGCUUAAUAACAGACUUCUUGCUAAGGAAAUGCAAGUGAAAUGGACAUACUAAAACUAAAAUUUUCUAUAUAACAAAGAUAUAUUGCCUGUAUACAUAUUCCUGCACAAAACAUGACACCCUUUUCUGUCCACAUUCACUGCGUACAGGGUAUAUAAAACAAAUCUUGAAGAGUCGUCAAACACUUGAUCAAUAGCGGCAAACUGUGUGUUGUUGUUGUUGUGCGUAUCUCACAGAUACAUUUUAUUAUGCGCGCCGAGUGUUUGCACAACUUAAAAGCCAAUAAAAUUUGUUGUUAAUUGCUUUGGUAAAUUGAAAAA